UUUUAAUAAGUAGUUUUUGAUUUGAGACUGAAAAAAAUAUUCGGCCAAUCAGAAUUAAGGUUUCAUUUGACUUUGGUAAGCUAUUUUUGAAAAUUGGCUGGAGCUCAUUCAGUUUUGAAUUUGAACAAAAGUUUACAGAGUUUGUUGAAAUACUUACACGAGUUACACACAUGAAAGGAAAGGAGAACCUUACAAAAAGGACACUUUGUGGGUUUUCAUGUUUCUGGCUACUCUUUGUGUACUAAUUCAAUUAAAUGGAAAUGUAAUACAAAGAGUUGCUGGGGAGGUAGCCCAUGUUAACUUACAACAAACAAGAGAAAUGGAUUAUAACAAAGGAUAUAGUAUAUGAUCAUUCUUUAAA
rnacentral:lncRNA from 1 species